AACGAACGCUGGCGGCAGGCUUAACACAUGCAAGUCGAACGCGUGCAGCAAUGCACGAGUGGCGCACGGGUGAGUAACGCGUGGAUAUCUGCCUUUUGGUUCGGAAUAACCCCGGGAAACUGGGGCUAAUACCGGAUGGUUCCUACGGGAUAAAGAUUUAUCGCCAAAAGAUGAGUCCGCGUCCGAUUAGCUAGUUGGUGAGGUAAUGGCUCACCAAGGCGACGAUCGGUAGCUGGUCUGAGAGGACGAUCAGCCACACUGGGACUGAGACACGGCCCAGACUCCUACGGGAGGCAGCAGUGGGGAAUAUUGGACAAUGGAGGCAACCCUGAUCCAGCCAUGCCGCGUGAGUGAUGAAGGCCUUCGGGUUGUAAAGCUCUUUUGGCGGGGACGAUGAUGACGGUACCCGCAGAAUAAGCCCCGGCUAACUUCGUG
rnacentral:rRNA from 1 species